CCUACGGGAGGCAGCAGUGGGGAAUUUUGCGCAAUGCUCGUAAGAGUGACGCAGCGACGCCGCGUGAAUGACGAAGGCCUUCGGGUCGUAAAGUUCUUUCGACAGGGAAGAAAAUUCCUAUAAGUAACUGUGUAUGUAUUGACGGUACCUGUAUAAGCAGCUCCGGCGAACUCCGUGCCGGCAGCCGGGGUAAUACGGCGGGGGCGAGCGUUGUUUGGAGUGACUGGGCGUAAAGAGCACGUAGGCGGGGGUGUACUUCAUUAGGCAACGACUAGGGCUAAAGUUGAGAAAGGCUAGUGAUACUAUAAUACUAGAGUAUCAGCGAGGAUUGCAGAAUUCCUGGUGUAGCGGUGAAAUGCGUAGAUAUCA
rnacentral:rRNA from 1 species